rnacentral:rRNA from 22 species
CUCUCGGCAACGGAUAUCUCGGCUCUCGCAUCGAUGAAGAACGUAGCGAAAUGCGAUACUUGGUGUGAAUUGCAGAAUCCCGUGAACCAUCGAGUCUUUGAACGCAAGUUGCGCCCGAAGCCGUCAGGCCGAGGGCACGCCUGCCUGGGCGUCACG